GUUGGGUAGGGGAGCGUUCUGUAAGCCUGUGAAGGUGUGUCGUGAGGCAUGCUGGAGGUAUCAGAAGUGCGAAUGCUGACAUAAGUAACGAUAAAGCGGGUGAAAAGCCCGCUCGCCGGAAGACCAAGGGUUCCUGUCCAACGUUAAUCGGGGCAGGGUGAGUCGACCCCUAAGGCGAGGCCGAAAGGCGUAGUCGAUGGGAAACGGGUUAAUAUUCCCGUACUUGGUGUUACUGCGAAGGGGGGACGGAGAAGGCUAUGUUGGCCGGGCGACGGUUGUCCCGGUUUAAGCGUGUAGGUGUGUGUUCCAGGUAAAUCCGGUU
rnacentral:rRNA from 2 species